AUCAGAUUAGGUUACUUAUUCAAGUAUUUCAAAUAGCUACACAAUGUACAAAACCAAACACUCACAAAACCUAAAUUUGUGCAGCAGAAUGAAAUCCCCAAAGAGUUCUUAAAUGCUUUUAUAUUUUCCACUGUAUAAUGGAGCAUAUCAGAUAGAGAGGCAUAAAUGGCCAUAAAUUUGUUCCUGAAGUUACAGAUGACUCUAUUGUAACUUAUGAUGAACAGAAGGCCUUGCCACUGGAAUCCGCCAGCAACCACUGAGAGAAUGCACAAGGCUUUCCCUUAACACCUCUCUCUCUAAGAAGUGUUUAAUUAUCUGAUAAAUAUGUUCUAAUUGUAGGCAAUAAAAUAAAGUUUAAUUCACUUUGCACAAACAAGUCCAGAAAUCUCUUUCCAAAUGUGCGGGGAAACGUCCCCAGAUGGAUCCAGGCUCCGUGCACCUUCUGCCACAAAUCACAGCAAACCUGUGACCACUCAUCUAUGAGCAGCUGUUAUGUAUGCAUUGAACAUGCUCUGUGGACUUUUGGCUUUCUUCUUCUUUCAGUGCUAGAUACCACCUGCAGGAGUGCUUACUUGAAAAGGAAAUCCUUGGUCUUCAGAUCCAGAGGUUUGAUGGCCCGUUUUUAUUAGGGAAACGAAGGUCUGUCUCUUCCAAACAGAAAUAAUAGUAACAUGGCUCAGAGUAGGAAAUCCCAUCAGAGCAAGACUUAAAAUGCAGAGGAUAAUCACUCAAGGGUGUGUAAAGGGAGGCAAGUGAAAUGCUCCUAUCAAGUCCUGAGAGGAUUUCAGUCUGAAUCUCAUGCAUCUUAGUACUCCUGAUCCAUAAUGGACUGCAACGCAUUCAGAAGAGGAGCCUCUCUCUUCUAUUUUACCAUGGUACAAGACGUACAAACAAUCCCAGGCAUUCUCAUGCUCUACCACUACAUCAGGAAAAGCUCCCAUUAUAGGACUCCUUAAGGUAGCAUUAAAAAUACACAUAUCCCUAAAACACAAUACUCCUUCUGUACUGGUAAACCACAAUUAAAACAAAGCUUAUUCAUCCAAUUUUUACAACAAACCAGCUUUACAGAAAUAGAUGUUAUUUCUUACACAGCAAAAAGGUUUCUAAGUAAGGCAUCAUCUUUUCUCAGGCAACAAUUGUGCGUGCAUUACAGCAGUGCAAUGGUAAAAAAAAAAAAAAAAAGUUAUUAAAUCUGUAUUUUCAACCAAAUACAAUCUUAACAAGUUUUUAGAAUUUAUUUAUUGGUACAAACUGCAAGGAAGAAAAUUGUCUCCCACUCGAAGCAAACACUGCAGCUUUUUACUAGCACUAAUAGAUGCUCUACUGAAUAAUGUCAGCCGUGACUCAGACUUGCUCCUCCAAAGAGGAGGACUUAAGCUUUCGCAUUUGGUAAGCCUUGCCUUCCUCUGCAGUCAGUAAGUCUGAAAUUUUCCUUUUCUUCCCUCUUUUCUCUUCCUCUGUGUUUUUAAAGUGUAAAAAUAAUAUUUUUACAAAAUCAUCAGCAGCAGCUUUCAGAAGGAGCUGGGCCUUUAAGAAAACGAUCACAUAAAAGAUCAACACCACAAGAAAAAAAAAGGAAAAUAAACAGGAGCUGGCAGAAAACA
rnacentral:lncRNA from 1 species